AUAGCAAUACAGGACUCUUUCCAUGCCCUGUAAUUGGAAUGAGUUUACUUUAAAUCCUUUAAUGAGGAUCUAUUGGAGGGCAAGUGUGGUGCAGAGCGACUGACCCGUGCAUGCUGCAGCUGAAACUCUGCUAUUGCCUGCUGCUGCUCUCACAGUCUCUCCAG